rnacentral:rRNA from 1 species
CGAGCGGUAGAGAGAAGCUUGCUUCUCUUGAGAGCGGCGGACGGGUGAGUAAUGCCUAGGAAUCUGCCUGGUAGUGGGGGAUAACGUUCGGAAACGGACGCUAAUACCGCAUACGUCCUACGGGAGAAAGCAGGGGACCUUCGGGCCUUGCGCUAUCAGAUGAGCCUAGGUCGGAUUAGCUAGUUGGUGAGGUAAUGGCUCACCAAGGCGACGAUCCGUAACUGGUCUGAGAGGAUGAUCAGUCACACUGGAACUGAGACACGGUCCAGACUCCUACGGGAGGCAGCAGUGGGGAAUAUUGGACAAUGGGCGAAAGCCUGAUCCAGCCAUGCCGCGUGUGUGAAGAAGGUCUUCGGAUUGUAAAGCACUUUAAGUUGGGAGGAAGGGCAGUUACCUAAUACGUAAUUGUUUUGACGUUACCGACAGAAUAAGCACCGGCUAACUCUGUGCCAGCAGCCGCGGUAAUACAGAGGGUGCAAGCGUUAAUCGGAAUUACUGGGCGUAAAGCGCGCGUAGGUGGUUAGUUAAGUUGGAUGUGAAAUCCCCGGGCUCAACCUGGGAACUGCAUUCAAAACUGACUGACUAGAGUA